UACGGAGGGUGCAAGCGUUGUCCGGAUUUGUUGGGUUUAAAGGGUGCGUAGGCGGCCCGUUAAGUCAGUGGUGAAAUCCCAGGGCUCAACCCUGGAACUGCCAUUGAUACUGACGGGCUUGAGUUCGGUUAAGGCGGGCGGAACUGGUGGUGUAGCGGUGAAAUGCAUAGAUACCAGCAAGAACCCCGAUUGCGUAGGCAGCUCGCUGAGCCGAAACUGACGCUGAGGCACGAAAGCGUGGGGAGCGAACAGG
rnacentral:rRNA from 1 species